UUUCUUUUUUUGAGGCAGGUCACUGACACCGAACAGCGAUGGAUUGACGCAGCGGGGUCAAGUUCUACGUACACUGUCGGCAAUGCUUCGCGUUUAAAGUUUCCAGCGUAUCAAGAAACUUCUGUCCAGAUCAUUAUACUUCUUUCAAGGCCAGGGAAAUAGCUAUCUUUCAUCUACAUUACGUUUUUCCAUUAAUACCAAGAGAACCAGAGUAAAAUGUUCACUGUUACCAGUUUCAAGGCAAACGCAGCUCGUAUAUUUAAUACUGCAUUCCCUCCAGCAUCUAUAAAAGAACACGAAGCGAAAGGCAUUAACGAAGCGAAGAAUUUUCGACGCUACUCUCCUCGACGGUUUCCUCACCGUAAUCGUAAUACUGCAGCGGUUCCGUGGUAUCAUCGUCACACUCCUCCGUAACGGAUCUGAUCUCCAUUGGCGCU